rnacentral:lncRNA from 1 species
AAUCCCACACACCACAUCCUUGCAUCAUGCAUGAUGAAGUUCAGCAAAUGAAUUCAACUCAAACUAAGUAUACUAAGUUCAAUCUUAGCUGAAAGUACCCGCACAGAAGUAAACGUCUUGCAAAGACAACUUCUUGCUGAAACCUUUCCUAAAUGUUGUUCACAAGGGGCCGACCUAAGUCAGGCCUGGUCAUAGCAAUAGUGAUCUAUGGUGAAAAGGAGAUGUACCUUGAAGACUGAAUAACUUGCAUAUGCCAUACAUAUAUAUAUGUGUGUAUGACAGUGUCACAUUAAUUUCUCCGUUCUUGAAGACCUUGGAGCCAAGCCGCCAAUUCCCCUUCGUUACACCACCGUACAAUGGAACGUCCAAAUCUUUGUCCGUUGCAUUCACCAUUGGAUCCUGAUCAUUGGAACAGUACACCUUGAACACGAUCAUGGCCCAGUUGACUCAAUUUUGGCAUCGUUUAUGGCGCAGGAUGUAUUAUAGGUCUGUAGCUCACCACGUCGAAGUAAAGAAAGGUAACAUAUGUUCCCUAUGCAUAUAAAAUUUGUAUUGAUGCUUUCAAACUGUCCCCAUACAGCGUUCAAUGUGAAAUUCGGCAAAACUCCAGAUUUCGAUUGCGCGUUGAAUCUCAAAUAU